rnacentral:rRNA from 1 species
AACGUAGGGGACGAGCGUUGUCCGGAUUUAUUGGGCGUAAAGAGCGCGCAGGCGGCUUCGCAAGUCGGGUGUGAAAAUCCGGGGCUCAACCCCGGACCUGCAUUCGAUACUGCGUGGCUAGAGGCAGGCAGGGGAGAUCGGAAUUCCUGGUGUAGCGGUGAAAUGCGCAGAUAUCAGGAGGAACACCGGUGGCGAAGGCGGAUCUCUGGGCCUGUCCUGACGCUCAGGCGCGAAAGCUAGGGGAGCGAACAGG